GACGAACGCUGGCGGCGUGCUUAACACAUGCAAGUCGAACGGAAAGGCCCGGCUUUUGUGGGGUGCUCGAGUGGCGAACGGGUGAGUAACACGUGAGUAACCUGCCCUUGACUUUGGGAUAACUUCAGGAAACUGGGGCUAAUACCGGAUAGGAGCUCCUGCUGCAUGGUGGGGGUUGGAAAGUUUCGGCGGUUGGGGAUGGACUCGCGGCUUAUCAGCUUGUUGGUGGGGUAGUGGCUUACCAAGGCUUUGACGGGUAGCCGGCCUGAGAGGGUGACCGGCCACAUUGGGACUGAGAGACGGCCCAGACGCCUACGGGAGGCAGCAGUGGAGAAUAUUGCACAAUGGGCGGAAGCCUGAGGCAGCAACGCCGCGUGCGGGAUGACGGCCUUCGGGUUGUAAACCGCUUUCGCCUGUGACGAAGCGUGAGUGACGGUAAUGGGUAAAGAAGCACCGGCUAACUACGUG
rnacentral:rRNA from 1 species